rnacentral:sRNA from 1 species
UGCCACAAGGACCUUUCUUGGGUCCCUGCGAUACUGGCUAGCUGGGACACCUUGACAACUUCCUGUGCAUGCACUGUCAUCUGCAGCAGCCACUCAUGCUCCCUACCACGUUGACUUGUUUCCUGGUCACUGUCUCAAUCCAGGGUUUUCCAACUUCUUCCAUUUUUGAGUACAAGAAACUUAUAUAAAAGAUGAUGACUCAGCAUGGUGAACACUUCUUUCUACAGAAAAUCAAGCGAAGAAAACCUGUCCAGCAUGUCAAGACACCUACUCGAUAUAACUUCAUCAUGCUCUGGGAAGGACUAAUGAAUGAAAGCUAACAGCUCCCAGUCGGAGGCCGCGGCGGGUCUAGCUCACACCUAAGGCGAUAGCAGAUGCAUAAGGGAGUUCUCUGAAAAUAUGUGCCCCGGAAGGUACGAGCUCAGAUGAGACCUGGGUACAAGUCCUCACUGAAGAACUAAGAAGCAAAGGGAAAAAUUUUCAGCUUCUAAUUGUGCUGAGCAGAGAAGGAAGACACGGUCUUAGGUAACAAUAACAAUUCUUUUCAAUAAUCCCAACAUACACUAGAUCCCUGACAUUCAUCAAAGAGUUAACCUCAAGCACAGAUAGAAGAUACCAUCUAAAUAAAAACAGAAGACAAACAACUUGUAUAUAACAAAGGCUUGUAGGGGAUAUUUCUUGAAGCUGGAAGGACAUUGGACCUCAAUUGACUUUAGUUCUCUCUCGUUCUCUCCGAGUGUUAUGUGAAAGGUUGAAGCCUGUGGACAUGGGAAGCCAGAUUCAAGUACAGAAAUGUAUGCACCGAGUUUCCUGUCAUAAAGACCACGAGGAAAUGGAAAGAGAGGAUUCGAGGGGUAGCAAAGAAUGCCCUAGUAAGAUUUCCCUUAGCUGUGCCAUUUAG